rnacentral:rRNA from 1 species
GACGAACGCUGGCGGCGUGCUUAACACAUGCAAGUCGAACGGUGAAGCACCUUCCUUUUGGUGGGUGUGGAUGAGUGGCGAACGGGUGAGUAACACGUGAGUAACCUGCCCCCUUCUUCUGGAUAACCGCAUGAAAGUGUGGCUAAUACGGGAUAUUCUGGGUCUGUCGCAUGGCGGGCCUGGGAAAGAUAUUGUUUCGGUGGGGGAUGGGCUCGCGGUCUAUCAGCUUGUUGGUGGGGUGAUGGCCUACCAAGGCGGUGACGGGUAGCCGGCCUGAGAGGGUGGACGGUCACACUGGGACUGAGACACGGCCCAGACUCCUACGGGAGGCAGCAGUGGGGAAUAUUGCACAAUGGGCGCAAGCCUGAUGCAGCGACGCCGCGUGAGGGAUGGAGGCCUUCGGGUUGUAAACCCCUUUCGCCAGUGAAGCAGGCCUGUCCCUUUUGUGGGUGGGUUGACGGUAGCUGGAUAAGAAGCGCCGGCUAACUACGUG